rnacentral:rRNA from 1 species
AUACGGAGGGGACAAGCGUUAUUCGGAAUCACUGGGCGUAAAGGACGCGUAGGCGGGUUAUUAAGUCGGGUGUGAAAUCCUACAGCUCAACUGUAGAACUGCAUUCGAAACUGAUAACCUAGAGUAUGGAAGGGGCAGGUGGAAUUAGUGGUGUAGGGGUAAAAUCCGUAGAUAUCACUAGGAAUACCGAAAGCGAAGGCGACCUGCUGGGACAUUACUGACGCUGAGGCGUGAAAGCGUGGGGAGCAAACAGGAUUAGAAACCCCGGUAGUCC